CUGUGUUAGCCAGGAUGGUCUCAAUCUCCUGACCUCGUGAUUCGCCCGCCUUGGCCUCCCAGAGUUCUGGGAUUACAGGCGUGAGCCACCGUGCCUGGCCUCUUUUUUCUUUUUGAGACAGAAGCUCACUCUGUCACCCAGGCUAGAGUACAGUGGCGCGAUCUCGGCUCACUGCAACCUCUGCCUCCUGGGUUCCAGCGAUUCUUCUGCCUCAGCCCCCCGAGUAGCUGGGACUACAGGUGCACGCCACCAUGCCUGGCUAAUUUUUGUGUUUUUAGUGGAGAUGGGGUUUCACUAUAUUGUCCAGGCUGGUCUUGAACUCCUGACCUCAUGAUCCAUCCACCUCAGCCUCCCAAAGUGCUGGGAUUACAGGCGUGAGACACUGCACCCCGCCUACUAUACAUUUUUAACUUGCGACUAACUUCAGGUGAUAUCAUAUAACCUCAUAUAUAGUCAACCUUACAACAUUACAUAUCCAUUUUUCCCUUUCAGCCAUUGUGCUAUUGUUAUUACAUAUUUUGAUUUCUCAUAUGAUAUAAACCCCACAAUACAUUAUUUUUACGUUAAUCAGAUGAUUAUCAAGGCAAGUGGAUCACCAGAGGUCAGGAGUUCAAGACCAGCCUGGCCAACAUGGUGAAACCCCACCUCUACUAAAAAUACACAACUUAGCCAGGUGUGCUGGAGCGUGCCUGUGAUCCCAGCUACUUGGGAGGCUGAAGCAGGAGAAUCGCUUGAACCUGGGAGGCGGGGGUUGCAGUGAGUCGAGAUCGUGCCACUGCAGUCCAGCCUGGGAAAGAGUGAGACUGACUCAAAAAAGAAAAACACUCUUUAUACUCACUCAUUUAGUUGCUGUUUCUGGUGUUCCUCAUUUCUUUGUGUAGAUUCAGUUUUCCAUUGGGUAUGACCUUCCUUCUGCUUGAGGGACACCUUAGACACUCCUGCAGCAUCUUGAACAUAUGGAACAUGGUCACAGCAUAAGUAUGUGUGUGCUGUCCUCUACUUGCCCUGUCACCUCCAGCAUCUUGAACAUAUGGAACAUGGUGACAGCAUAAGCAUGUGUGUGCUCUCCUCUACUUGCCCUGUCACCUUUGUCAUUUCCAGGUCAGUUACUGCAACCUCUGCCUCCCGGAUUCAAGAGAUUCUCCUGCCUCAGCCUUCUGAGUAACUGGGGCUACAGGUUGCCUGCUACCACGCCUGGCUAGUUUUUAUAUUUUUAGUAGAGAUGGGGUUUCACCAUGUUGUCCAGGCUGGUUGUGAACUUCUGGUCUGAAGUGAUUCGGCCUCCCAGAGUGCUGGGAUUACAGGCAUGAGCCACUGUGCCUGGCCCCAGGUCAAUUUUGAUUGACUUUUCCCAUCUCUCCAUAUGGGUCAUAAUGUCCUGCCUCUUUUCAUGCCUGUUUUUUUUUUCCCCCGGAUAUUCAACAUUUUGUAUUCUACCUUGUUUGGUGCUGGAUAUUUUUGUAGACCUAUACAUAUCUUUGCAUUUGUUUCUCAGAUGCGAUUAAGUUACUUGGAAACUGUGGUCCUUUUUUUUCAGGCAGGGUCUCACUCUGUCGCACGGGCUGGAGUGUAGUGGCGGGAUCUUGGCUCACUGCAGUCUCGGCCCCCUGGGCUCAAGUGAUUCUCCCACCUCAGCCUCCCCAAUAGCUGGGGCCACAGGCAUGCACCAUCACAUCUGGUGACUUUUUGGAUUUUUGUAGACAUGGGGUUUCACCAUGUUGCCCAGGCUAGUCUUGACCUCCUGGGCUCAACUGGUCUGCCUGCCUUGGCUUCCCAAAGUUUUGGGAUUACAGGUGUGAGCCCCCACAUCUGGCUCUGGGUCUUGUUAUUAAGUGGUGUUUGGUGGGACCUGAACUGUAUUUAGUCUCGUGUUGAUGCUUCCCUACUACGGGGUGAGAACGUCUUCCUGCUCUAACGAUGCUUCCCCACUCUGGCUGCUGACCACAGGCACUA